UACGUGGGGGGCAAGCGUUGUUCGGAAUUACUGGGCGUAAAGGGCGCGUAGGCGGUUUGCUAAGUUGGAUGUGAAAACUCUGGGCUUAACCCAGAGCCUGCAUCCAAAACUGGCUGACUUGAGUACUGGAGGGGAAAGCGGAAUUCCUGGUGUAGCGGUGAAAUGCGUAGAUAUCUGGAGGAAUACCGGUGGCGAAGGCGGCAUCCUGGACCGGCAUUGACGCUGAUGAGCGAAAGCUAGGGGAGCAAACGGG
rnacentral:rRNA from 1 species